GACUCAUCCUGGUCAAGGUCUUCCUUCAGUGCUUGUCCAAGAUAUGUUUGAAGGAGGAACUCAGUGGUCUUCACUGGAAGGCCUUGGGUUAAGCAUGUCUAGGAAGCUUCUCAAGUUGAUGAAUGGUCAUGUCCAUUAUGUUAGGGAGCCCAGAAAAAGUUACUUCCUCAUUGAUACUGAAUUUCAAACCAAAAAGAGAUCCUAGGCGUUGCAGUUAAAUGUUCUUGCUGUCGAUAGUUGCAUCAUGUAGAGGCUUUCCCUUGCCACCUCACCAGGUCCUGAUUGUAUACUUCGAGCAUUGUUGUGGAUCACUUUGUAAAGGGACAAAAUAUUGGAUUCAUUGAGUGAAGAUAUUUGUUGCUAAUGGCCUUGUAAUUUUCAAUGAGUUCACUUGUAAACCUAUUGUAUCUUCUCACUCUUGUAAUUUUCAGUGAGUUUGACUUGUAAAAUUUAUUGUAUCCUUUCACCAUGUUUAUAGAGAAGCCAAAUUAUAAUGUUGUAUUAA